rnacentral:rRNA from 1 species
CGGUUGAUCCUGCCGGAGGCCAUUGCUAUCGGAGUCCGAUUUAGCCAUGCUAGUCGCACGAACUUAGAUUCGUGGCAUAUAGCUCAGUAACACGUGGCCAAACUACCCUACAGACCGCGAUAACCUCGGGAAACUGAGGCCAAUAGCGGAUACAGCUUUCAUGCUGGAGUGCAGAGAGCUGGAAACGUUCCGGCGCUGUAGGAUGUGGCUGCGGCCGAUUAGGUAGAUGGUGGAGUAACGGCCCACCAUGCCGAUAAUCGGUACAGGUUGUGAGAGCAAGAGCCUGGAGACGGUAUCUGAGACAAGAUACCGGGCCCUACGGGGCGCAGCAGGCGCGAAACCUUUACACUGCACGACAGUGCGAUAGGGGGACUCCGAGUGUGAGGGCAUAUAGCCCUCGCUUUUCUGAACCGUAAGGUGGUUCAGGAACAAGGACUGGGCAAGACCGGUGCCAGCCGCCGCGGUAAUACCGGCAGUCCAAGUGAUGGCCGAUAUUAUUGGGCCUAAAGCGUCCGUAGCUUGCUGUGUAAGUCCAUUGGGAAAUCGACCAGCUCAACUGGUCGGCGUCCGGUGGAAACUACACAGCUUGGGGCCGAGAGACUCAACGGGUACGUCCGGGGUAGGAGUGAAAUCCCGUAAUCCUGGACGGACCACCAAUGGGGAAACCACGAUGAGAGACCGGACCCGACAGUGAGGGACGAAAGCCAGGGUCUCGAACCGGAUUAGAUACCCGGGUAGUC